rnacentral:lncRNA from 1 species
UGUUAUGUCAUCUGCUUUUGUGCUGUACUAUGUGUUUGUGUGAUAUCUCGUGACUUGAGCCGGGGGUCUUUCGGAAACAGCCUUUCUACUUCAUCAGAGGUAGAGGUAUGGACUGCGUACAUCUUACCCCCCCAGACCCCACUAAGUGGGAAUACACUGGGUUUGUUGUUGUUGUAUGUUAUGAUAGUUGUUGGUUGUAUAGAGAGAGUUUCAAGACCCUUAUCAUGUUCAGAAUGUUAGUUGCAAGUAGAUUGCCUGUGUAAAGCUUGUUUGUAGAACAAGUAGAAACGAGUGAGGGAAGAAAAAACCAAUUUAUGUAAUGGACUUCUGUUGGAUCAUCAUGCAGUUUGUCCAGGUUCCUGUGCCCUCAAUCUUGAUUAGAAGGAAAUCAUUCUUUUUAAGUGCUCUUUUUUCUUUUGUUGGUUUGUUCUAUUUGUUUUCUUUUAAAAAAGGACAACCCUGUGCACUAAAGCUCUUGUUAGGUUUGUUCUAUCUUUUGAUUUGUUAAAAUAUUUAUGGAGCUCAGUCAUACAUUUCAUCUCUGCUUGCAUUUGUGGGUCUAUCUAUUAUCAAUGACACGUGAAAGUAAUUUUUUGCUCUUUAGUUUGCUUUGGUCAAAGAGGUUUGCUGUGAUAUUUCUCUGGAUAUCAUAUGUCAACUUUCUUGAUGAACUUCUCUAUCAGACCUCACCGACUGAAACAAAAGCUCAGAAGUUUUAGACAUUCUGAGCUUAUCAAACACAAAAAAAAGGAAAAAAAGUGGUAAAGACAUUGUGAGCAUAGUUAAUGUUUCUCAGAAUAGGCAAAAUGGAAGAGGAUAUAUUAGACACGAUUGAGAUGGUUCGGACACGUGAAGAGGAGGGGCAUGGAUGCCCCGGUCCGUAGGUGUGAGAGGCUAGCGUUGGAUGGUUUUAGACGGGGAAGGGGUAGACCGAAGAAGGACUGGGGUGAGGUGAUUAGGCGGGACAUGGAACAGUUACAGCUUACCGAGGACAUGACCCUAGAUAGGAAGGUCUGGAAGACGCGAAUUACGGCAGAGGAUUAGGGCCAGUUCGGGUCGCUAGUGUAGGGAUUUAAUUGGUGGGGGUGUAUUCCGGUUAUGAUUCCGUAUUCAGUGUUUCGUGUUCCGUGUUUCAUGUUUAUUACGAAUCUGUGUGCUUUCCUCUGCUUUAUAUUCCUGCAAUCCUGCUUUACUCUGUUUUAUAUUCCCUAUGGGUGCCGUAUCUAUGUUAUGUCAUCUGCUUUUGUGCUGUACUAUGUGUUUGUGUGAUAUCUCGUGACUUGAGCCGGGGGUCUUUCGGAAACAGCCUUUCUACUUCAUCAGAGGUAGAGGUAUGGACUGCGUACAUCUUACCCCCCCCAGACCCCACCAAGUGGGAAUACACUGGGUUUGUUGUUGUUGUAUAAUUUCUAAAUAAAAAAACCAGAAUUUUUACUCAUAAAUCAUAGACAGCAAGUCCACUGUUUUUUAACUCUUUGUGAAAACUGGAAAAAAAUCGAGGAAGAAGUAGAAGAAGAAACACAGAGGAGAAAAUCAGUGGAAGAAAGUAGAAAAAAAAUCA